rnacentral:rRNA from 1 species
UACGUAGGGGGCAAGCGUUGUCCGGAAUCAUUGGGCGUAAAGCGCGCGUAGGCGGCCCUGUAAGUCCGCUGUGAAAGUCAAAGGCUCAACCUUUGAAAGCCAGUGGAUACUGCAGGGCUAGAGUCCGGAAGGGGCGAGUGGAAUUCCUGGUGUAGCGGUGGAAUGCGCAGAUAUCAGGAGGAACACCAAUAGCGAAGGCAGCUCGCUGGGACGGUACUGACGCUAAGGCGCGAAAGCGUGGGGAGCGAACAGG